rnacentral:tmRNA from 1 species
GGGGGCGAUACGGUUUCGACGGGGAUACGGAGAUUCGUGUGGCGUGUCGGGGGCGGUUCGGUAACCUCGUUAAAACUGCUGAAUACUUACAAUUGCCAACGAUAAUGUUGAGCUCGCUCUCGCUGCCUAAUCGCACGUGAGCACAAGAACCCUCGGGUUCCGUCUUUAUGGGUCACGCCUGAUGAUUCAUACUGGCGUCAAGUUUCAGGCUGGUCGAGUGGGCACCAUGGUCGAGGGCGCCCGCAAGACGAGAUUAAAUCACGACCUCUCUAGUGACGCCCGCCUUCGGGCACGCGCUAGAGUACACAAACGAAGGCUACACACGUAGAAGGGCGAAAUCGAAGAUUUUCGGACGCGGGUUCGACUCCCGCCGCCUCCAUC